AGAGUUUGAUUCUGGCUCAGGAUGAACGCUAGCGAUAGGCCUAACACAUGCAAGUCGAGGGGCAGCACAUGAAGUAGCAAUACGGAUGGUGGCGACCGGCGCACGGGUGAGUAACGCGUAUGCAACCUGCCUACAACAGGGGAAUAACCCGUUGAAAGACGGACUAAUACCCCAUAACACAGGGAUCCCGCAUGGGAAUAUUUGUUAAAGAUUUAUCGGUUGUAGAUGGGCAUGCGUUCCAUUAGCUUGUUGGUGAGGUAACGGCUCACCAAGGCAACGAUGGAUAGGGGAACUGAGAGGUUUAUCCCCCACACUGGUACUGAGACACGGACCAGACUCCUACGGGAGGCAGCAGUGAGGAAUAUUGGUCAAUGGACGCAAGUCUGAACCAGCCACGUCGCGUGAAGGAAGACGGCCCUACGGGUUGUAAACUUCUUUUGUAAGGGAAUAAAGUGUAGUACGUGUACUAUUUUGCAUGUACCUUACGAAUAAGGAUCGGCUAACUCCGUGCCAGCAGCCGCGGUAAUACGGAGGAUCCGAGCGUUAUCCGGAUUUAUUGGGUUUAAAGGGUGCGCAGGCGGGAGAUUAAGUCGGCGGUGAAAUUUUGCAGCUCAACUGUAAAAGUGCCUUCGAAACUGGUUUCCUUGAGUGUGGAUGAAGUAGGCGGAAUUUGUGGUGUAGCGGUGAAAUGCAUAGAUAUCACGAGGAACUCCGAUUGCGCAGGCAGCUUACUAAACCAUAACUGACGCUCAGGCACGAAGGCGUGGGGAUCAAACAGGAUUAGAUACCCUGGUAGUC
rnacentral:rRNA from 1 species